GUUGGGAAUACUUGUAACAAGUCUAGGGUAAGACUAUGCUUGGUCUUGUUAUAUACAAGUUUCCAUUGAUUAAGUUGGGAGGUGGAAUUUUUGGAAAAGUUAAAGGGCAAAAUUGGAAUUACUCAUGUGGAAAUAUCAUAAAAGGUUAGGGGUAAAAUUGGAAUUUCACAUGUGGAAAUACCAUAAAAGGUUAGGGGUAAACUUGGAAUUUUACCUAUGGAAAUACUAUAAAAGGUUAAGGGCAAAGGUGGAAUUUCAACUUGGAAUUAUUAGGAAAGGUGAGGGGCAAAAUGGUAAUUUCACAAGGAAGCAUUUUAGUCAUAAAAUCCUAGAGAUUUCUAGACAUUUUGAGAGAAGUAGAAGAUGAAAAAUUUAAGGAAAAACUAGAGAGAAAAAUCGGCCAUGGAGGGAGUGAAUUAACUCUCCAAAUUUCAUCCCCAAAAAUUAUAAUUUUCUAGUAUUCCUACUAAGUCAAGGGUGCUCUACAACAUGGUGUAAUUGUUUUGGAAGUUUGGGGACUUGUUUCCUUGAUUUGGAAGUGAAGAAGUUAGAAGAAAAAGAUUUUGGAGGAAACGGGAAUUGAAUUUGGACAAUCGUAAAACGUCAAAAAGGUACCGACGUUCGUUGUGCUGAGCCGCCUAUUUAGGACAUCUGCUGUGUUAUUGACAGUGCUCCUUUGUUCGGAGCUUGUAUUUUGGUACUGACUCUAUCUCUGUAUAUUUGUAUAUAUUGGUCAGGGGUACGACGGGGCCCUGUCCCGUCUUAUGACUAUGCUAUCAUCUGUAGAGGUCUGUAGACAGAGUUAUGUUGUGGGUUUUGGAUAUAUGGUUUGGAUUUUUGUGUGUUUUGUGACAGCCUUUCAA